GUUGUAUAGUCAAGUAAUUAAGUGCAUGUGGUGGAUGCCUUGGCAGUCAGAGGCGAAGAAAGACGUGAUAGCCUGCGAAAAGCUCCGGGGAGGCGGCAAAUAUCCUUUGAUCCGGAGAUAUCUGAAUGGGGGAACCCACCUACCUUAAGGUAGGUAUUGCAACAUGAAUACAUAGUGUUGCAAGGCGAACGAGGGGAAGUGAAACAUCUCAGUACCCUUAGGAAAAGAAAUCAAUUGAGAUUCCCUCAGUAGCGGCGAGCGAAAGGGGAAAAGCCCAUUAAGUUAUGUGUGUUUUAGUGGAAUGCUCUGGGAAGUGCAACCAUAGUGGGUGAUAGUCCUGUACACGAAAGGGCACACAUAAUGAUGACGAGUAGGGCGAGGCACGUGAAACCUUGUCUGAAUAUGGGGGGACCAUCCUCCAAGGCUAAAUACUCCUGACUGACCGAUAGUGAACCAGUACCGUGAGGGAAAGGCGAAAAGAACUUGAAGGUUGGGUAACACUAACUGGAGGACCGAACCCACUGUCGUUGAAAAGCCAGGGGAUGACUUGUGGAUAGGGGUGAAAGGCUAAUCAAACUCGGUGAUAGCUGGUUCUCCCCGAAAGCUAUUUAGGUAGCGCCUCGGACGAAUACCAUUGGGGGUAGAGCACUGUUUCGGCUAGGGGGUCAUCCCGACUUACCAAACCGAUGCAAACUCCGAAUACCAAUGAGUACUAUCCGGGAGACAGACUGCGGGUGCUAACGUCCGUAGUCAAGAGGAAAACAAUCCAGACCGCCAGCUAAGGCCCCAAAAUCAUAGUUAAGUGGGAAACGAUGUGGGAAGGCAUAGACAGCUAGGAGGUUGGCUUAGAAGCAGCCACCCUUUAAAGAAAGCGUAAUAGCUCACUAGUCGAGUCGGCCUGCGCGGAAGAUGUAACGGGGCUAAAACUAUGUGCCGAAGCUGCGGAUGCAUAAUUUAUUAUGCGUGGUAGGGGAGCGUUCUGUAAGCCGAAGAAGGUGUAUUGAGAAGUAUGCUGGAGGUAUCAGAAGUGCGAAUGCUGACGUGAGUAACGACAAAACGGGUGAAAAACCCGUUCGCUGAAAGACCAAGGGUUCCAGUCCAACGUUAAUCGGGGCUGGGUGAGUCGACCCCUAAGGCGAGGCCGAGAGGCGUAGUCGAUGGGAAAUUGGUUAAUAUUCCAAUACUUCAGUGUAAUGCGAUGAGAGGACGGAGAAGGUUAAGUCAGCCUGGCGUUGGUAGUCCAGGUGAAAGGAAGUAGGCAUGCAUCUUAGGCAAAUCCGGGGUGCUCUAUGCUGAGAUCUGAUAGCAAGCUGUACUUGUACAGUGAAGUGGCUGAUACCCUGCUUCCAGGAAAAGUCUCUAAGCUUCAGUUACACUGGAAUCGUACCCGAAACCGACACAGGUGGUCAGGUCGAGUAGACCAAAGCGCUUGAGAGAACUCUGCUGAAGGAACUAGGCAAAAUGGUACCGUAACUUCGGGAGAAGGUACGCUGUUGACGGUGAUGGGACUUGCUCCCUGAGCGGUUGACAGCCUCAGAAACCAGGCCGCUGCAACUGUUUAUUAAAAACAUAGCACUCUGCAAACACGAAAGUGGACGUAUAGGGUGUGAUGCCUGCCCGGUGCUGGAAGGUUAAUUGAUGGGGUUAGCGUAAGCGAAGCUCUUGAUCGAAGCCCCAGUAAACGGCGGCCGUAACUAUAACGGUCCUAAGGUAGCGAAAUUCCUUGUCGGGUAAGUUCCGACCUGCACGAAUGGCAUAAUGAUGGCGGCGCUGUCUCCAGCAGAGGCUCAGUGAAAUCGAAUUCGCCGUGAAGAUGCGGUGUACCCGCGGCUAGACGGAAAGACCCCGUGAACCUUUACUGCAGCUUGACAUUGAACUUUGACCUUACUUGUGUAGGAUAGGUGGGAGGCUUUGAAACUUGGACGCUAGUCCGAGUGGAGCCGUCCUUGAAAUACCACCCUGGUAAUGUUGAGGUUCUAACUCUGUCCCGUUAUCCGGGACGAGGACCAUGUCUGGUGGGUAGUUUGACUGGGGCGGUCUCCUCCUAAAGAGUAACGGAGGAGUACGAAGGUGCGCUCAGCGUGGUCGGAAAUCACGCGUAGAGUAUAAAGGCAAAAGCGCGCUUAACUGCGAGACCCACAAGUCGAGCAGGUACGAAAGUAGGUCUUAGUGAUCCGGUGGUUCUGUAUGGAAGGGCCAUCGCUCAACGGAUAAAAGGUACUCUGGGGAUAACAGGCUGAUACCGCCCAAGAGUUCAUAUCGACGGCGGUGUUUGGCACCUCGAUGUCGGCUCAUCUCAUCCUGGGGCUGAAGCAGGUCCCAAGGGUAUGGCUGUUCGCCAUUUAAAGAGGUACGCGAGCUGGGUUUAGAACGUCGUGAGACAGUUCGGUCCCUAUCUACCGUGGGCGCUGGAAAUUUGAGAGGAUCUGCUCCUAGUACGAGAGGACCAGAGUGGACGAACCUCUGGUGUACCGGUUGUGACGCCAGUCGCAUCGCCGGGUAGCUAUGUUCGGAAGGGAUAACCGCUGAAAGCAUCUAAGCGGGAAGCCUACCUCAAGAUAAGAUUUCCCCGAGGCUUUAUGCCUCCUAAAGAGCCGUUGAAGACUACGACGUUGAUAGGUUGGAUGUGGAAGCAUAGCGAUAUGUGAAGCUGACCAAUACUAAUUGCUCGUGAGGCUUGACUAUACAACACCCAAACAGUUG
rnacentral:rRNA from 1 species